rnacentral:rRNA from 1 species
AUUGAACGCUAGCGGGAUGCCUUACACAUGCAAGUCGAACGGAGUGGCGAACGGGUGAGUAAUGUAUCGGAACGUGCCCAGUAGCGGGGGAUAACUACGCGAAAGCGUAGCUAAUACCGCAUACUAUUGGAGCGGCCGAUAUCGGAUUAGCUAGUUGGUGGGUUAACGGGUCACCAAGGCGACGCUCCCUAGCUGGUCUGAGAGGAUGACCAGCCACACUGGAACUGAGACACGGUCCAGACUCCUACGGGAGGCAGCAGUGGGGAAUAUGGCACAUGGGGCGAAAGCCUGAUGCAGCCAUGCCGCGUGUAUGAAGACGGCCUUCGGGUUGUAAAGUACUUUCAGCGAGGAGGCGUUACUCGCAGAAGAAGCACCGGCUAACUCCGUGCCAGCCGCCGCGGUAAUAC